rnacentral:rRNA from 1 species
GACGAACGUUGGCGGCGUGCUUAACACAUGCAAGUCGAACGGAAAGGCCCUGCUUUUGUGGGGUGCUCGAGUGGCGAACGGGUGAGUAACACGUGAGUAACCUGCCCUUGACUUUGGGAUAACUUCAGGAAACUGGGGCUAAUACCGGAUAGGAGCUCCUGCUGCAUGGUGGGGGUUGGAAAGUUUCGGCGGUUGGGGAUGGACUCGCGGCUUAUCAGCUUAUUGGUGGGGUAGUGGCUUACCAAGGCUUUGACGGGUAGCCGGCCUGAGAGGGUGACCGGCCACAUUGGGACUGAGAUACGGCCCAGACUCCUACGGGAGGCAGCAGUGGGGAAUAUUGCACAAUGGGCGGAAGCCUGAUGCAGCAACGCCGCGUGCGGGAUGACGGCCUUCGGGUUGUAAACCGCUUUCGCCUGUGACGAAGCGUGAGUGACGGUAAUGGGGAAAGAAGCACCGGCUAACUACGU